CAAUAGCGUAUAUUUAAGUUGUUGCAGUUAAAAAGCUCGUAGUUGGAUUUCGGGUGGGUACCGCCGGUCUCCCAUUGGGUAUGUACUGGCGUGGCCCGCCUUGCUGUCGGGGACGGUCUCCUGGGCUUAAUUGCUCGGGAAUCGGAGUCGACGAUGUUACUUUGAGUAAAUUAGAGUGUUCAAAGCAAGCCUACGCUCUGAAUAUGAUAGCAUGGGAUAACACGACAGGACUCUGGCCUAUCGUGUUGGUCUGUAGGACCGGAGUAAUGAUUAAGAGGGACAGUCGGGGGCAUUCGUAUUCCAUUGUCAGAGGUGAAAUUCUUGGAUUUAUGGAAGACGAACAUCUGCGAAAGCAUUUGCCAAGGAUGUUUUCAUUGA
rnacentral:rRNA from 1 species